rnacentral:rRNA from 1 species
UACAGAGGUCUCAAGCGUUGUUCGGAUUCAUUGGGCGUAAAGCGCAUGUAGGCGGCAGCGCAAGUCGGGCGUGAAAUCCCACGGCUCAACCGUGGAAGUGCACUCGAAACUGCGCAGCUAGAGUCCUGGAGAGGAAGGUGGAAUGCUUGGUGUAGAGGUGAAAUUCGUAGAUAUCAAGCGGAACACCGGUGGCGAAGGCGGCCUUCUGGACAGUGACUGACGCUGAGACGCGAAAGCGUGGGGAGCAAACAGG